rnacentral:rRNA from 1 species
CGCAGUAGGAUAGGCGAAGCGUGCGAUUGGAUUGCACGUCUAAGCAGUAAGGCUGAGUAUUAGGCAAAUCCGGUACUCGUUAAGGCUGAGCUGUGAUGGGGAGAAGACAUUGUGUCUUCGAGUCGUUGAUUUCACACUGCCGAGAAAAGCCUCUAGAUAGAAAAUAGGUGCCCGUACCGCAAACCGACACAGGUAGUCAAGAUGAGAAUUCUAAGGUGAGCGAGCGAACUCUCGUUAAGGAACUCGGCAAAAUGACCCCGUAACUUCGGGAGAAGGGGUGCUCUUUAGGGUUAACGCCCAGAAGAGCCGCAGUGAAUAGGCCCAAGCGACUGUUUAUCAAAAACACAGGUCUCUGCUAAACCGUAAGGUGAUGUAUAGGGGCUGACGCCUGCCCGGUGCUGGAAGGUUAAGAGGAGUGGUUAGCUUCUGCGAAGCUACGAAUCGAAGCCCCAGUAAACGGCGGCCGUAACUAUAACGGUCCUAAGGUAGCGAAAUUCCUUGUCGGGUAAGUUCCGACCCGCACGAAAGGCGUAACGAUUUGGGCACUGUCUCAACGAGAGACUCGGUGAAAUCAUAGUACCUGUGAAGAUGCAGGUUACCCGCGACAGGACGGAAAGACCCCGUGGAGCUUUACUGUAGCCUGAUAUUGAAAUUCGGCACAGCUUGUACAGGAUAGGUAGGAGCCUUUGAAACGUGAGCGCUAGCUUACGUGGAGGCGCUGGUGGG